rnacentral:rRNA from 1 species
UACGUAGGGUGCAAGCGUUGUCCGGAAUCAUUGGGCGUAAAGAGCUCGUAGGCGGUCUGUCACGUCGGCUGUGAAAACCCGGGGCUCAACCCCGGGCCUGCAGUCGAUACGGGCAGACUAGAGCUCGGUAGGGGAGACUGGAAUUCCUGGUGUAGCGGUGAAAUGCGCAGAUAUCAGGAGGAACACCGGUGGCGAAGGCGGGUCUCUGGGCCGAAACUGACGCUGAGGAGCGAAAGCGUGGGGAGCGAACAGG